CUGGCCAGGCGGGAGGGGCGGGGACGCAGCCGGAAGGCUGGAGGUUCCUGGAAGGUGAGGCUGGCUUGCCUUCUUGAUUUAUGUGGCCAAAGGGUAGCAGCCACCUCUGCAAAGGUCCAGUGAAGAGUCCCCUUUCCCCCAAGUAAUGCCGAGAAGAGAGAGGCAGGUGCAGCCAGCGAUGCGGCGGAGUCUCCGCAAGAGAGCGAGGGCCUGGCGUGGGGCGCACACGCACGCGCGUCUUGGGUCCCUGCAGAGAGGUGUCCCCAGUGCUGUGCCCUGUUCGGUGCCGGGAGCGGUGCCACGGGCCCGCCGCCGCCCUAGUAAGGUGUCGGGGCCUUUGCGCGCCUAGCGCCAUGGCCGCGUCGCCGCUCCUCCGCACCUCCCAGGCUCCACGAACACGGCCAGGCAUUUCCAAGUAGAGGGCAGAACCCUCUCCCCAUCUCCCCACUUAGCACCUGGGAGGCCCCGUGGAGGAGGCUAGGACCUCUGGGGGUUCCACACUCUGCUGGUGGUGCUGGCUCCUGGCGGGAGCUUCUGCCCUCACGGGGCGGCCUCCCGGUUCCGCUGUAGGAAAGCCCUGCCCGACGUCUCCUGGAAGGGCCCUCCAUGGCCUCUCCAAAUCCUUCCAACCCGAACAAUGGAAGGGAAGAAGGAAAGGAGGGGCUGAGGAAGGAAACAGACACUGACCAAAGCCCAGAGGUUGGAAACCAUGGCCACAUAAGACAUGCUGGCUUCUCCUUCACUUUCCACCAUGAUUCUCUUAAAAGCAGAGAUGAAGAGAAAAGAGUGAGUUCAAAAGACAGAGCAUGAGAAAGACCCCACCCGCUAUUACUGGCUUUGAAGAUGGAGAGAAGAGGCCACAAGCCAAGGAAUGCAGCAGCUUCCAGAAGCAUGAAAGAGCCCUUAGGUUACAGCCAGCAAGGGAAGGAAACUGCGACCCUACAGCCACAAGACUUGACUUCUGCCAACAGCCAGAAGGAGCAGGAAAUACGUUCUCCCUGAGAGCCUCCAGAAAGGAACACAGUCUGCCCACACCUUAAUUUUAGCCUGGGGAGGCCCAUACCAGGUCUCUGCUUUACAGAAUUGUAAGAUAAUAAAUUUGGAGUUUUUUUAAACUACUAAAUUUGUGGUCAUUUGUAAAGGCAGUAACAGAAAAACUAAAACACUUUACUAUCUAUACGUAGAUUUAACUGCUUUUUUUUUUUUUCUUUUUAAGAGAUGGUCUCACUCUGUUGCCCAAGUUGGAGUACAGAGGUGCAAUCAUAUCUCACUGCAGCCUUGAACUCCUGGGCUCAAGCCAUCCUCCCACCUCAGGCUCCUGGAUAACUGGGACUACAGGCACACCACCAUGCCUGGCUAAUUUUUUUUUUCUUUUUUUUUUUUAGAGAUGAGGUCUUGCUAUGUUGCCCAGCUGGUCUCAAAUUCCUAGCUUCAAAUGAUCCUCCCACCUUGGCCUCCCAAAGCUCUGGGAAUGAAGGCAUGAGCCACCAUGCCCAGUCUAGAUUUAACUUUUAAAUACAGUUCUAUUUUUAUAGGGGGGGAAAAUCCCAAAAUAGAAUAACAAGCAGGUUUUCUUUUACUCAGUUAACUAUUCCUAAGAGAAACCUUGAUAUUCUGGAUAUUUGAACCCUGAGACUAAUCCAGGCACCCUUUUCUCCUGGUAGCAGCUUGUGCAAUGAGGU
rnacentral:lncRNA from 10 species